rnacentral:lncRNA from 8 species
AUGGAGCCCCUUCCUCCAACUACAGCCAUAUCUCUCCACACUGAUGGCAAAUAUGCACUUCAUGAACAGGAUUGUUUCUUACCAUUGGACGUACCAGAGGUGAUAUGUGGUUGCCUGACUAGCACCAUCCAUGUUGGCCCUGGGAAACGUAUCAUCCUCGUAGGAAUAAAUGGUCUCUACAAUGUCACAGUGCCAGUGCUGACCUGCACAACCUGUCUCAGCACCUGGACAGCAAACUUGGCAGAUCUGAUAAAGAAUGGGUACUGGCCAGCCACCGUCAACUGUGACAGCAUAUACCAGGUAGAUCUGUUCAGCUCUUUUGAGGAGCUGAAAGUGUCAGCCCCAGAAAUGUCCCGUCUGGCGUUUAUGCGGAUUUUGGAGCAGCGAACUGACUUCUUUGGCAGGGUAACAAUAAAUUAUACUCAGCUUUACCAAUGUGUGACUUCAGGUUAA